AGAUCAUAUUUACAAAAAUAGGACAUAUAAUCUCCAUACCUUUGCAUGGGUCGAUCUAUACCACAGUCGAUGAUCGUGGAUGUCUUAGUUUCUCGAGCCAUACACGUAUCCAACCUCUACAGGUAUCUACACAAGGCUCUUGAUCUGAUCAGAGAUUUCUUGAUCUCCCUUGGGAUGCUAGCUUUCUUGCAGAGAUCCACUCUAGAUGGUUGAUUAAAAAUCUUCUACAGAUCUCUAGACCCUCUGAGAGAAGAAGAAGAUUUUGGAGGAAGAAAAGGUAGAGAAAGAAGAAGAAACUCUUUCUUUUCUCCCUCCUUAAGAUCCCGUGCUUAAGAUGAAAACCCUAGGAGCCUCCACACCCAAAAUCCCAUGCCUAAGGAUGUCUCAUGCCCCUUCUCUCAAUUCUCACGAUAAAAAUCUGAAUACACACACAAAGGAA
rnacentral:lncRNA from 1 species